rnacentral:rRNA from 1 species
CAGUAGCCGCGGGAAUACGAGGGGGGCAAGCGUUGUUCGGAAUUAUUGGGCGUAAAGGGCGCGUAGGCGGUUUGGCAAGUUUCGUGUGAAAUCUUCGGGCUCAACUCGAAGUCUGCACGGAAAACUGCCGGGCUUGAGUAUGGGAGAGGUGAGUGGAAUUUCCGGUGUAGCGGUGAAAUGCGUAGAUAUCGGAAGGAACACCUGUGGCGAAAGCGGCUCACUGGACCAUUACUGACGCUGAGGCGCGAAAGCUAGGGGAGCAAACAGGAUUAGAUACCCCUGUAGUCCCUGUCUCUUAUAC